GUACUCCUUUUGGGAAGGAGGGUGCUGCAAUCCUGAAACCAAAAAAACACCCAAAUCAGGGUCACAAACUGUGCAGAGGUGGAUGUCGUUUUCUUGGAUUUUAGUAAGGCCUUCGAUAUGGAAUCUCAUCCCAUUCUCAUAAAUAAAGAGGCUGUGACAUAGAUGUUUACAUGGUCUGAAGACGGAAGAAUCUGAAGCAGGUGAGAAGCAAGAGAAGUCAGAGGCUGUCUCGUGCAAAAGCCUUGCCACCAUGUUGCAGGAGGGAUAUGCCUGGCAGAGUUUCAGACUGCAUUCCUGGGCCCAAAUACCUGAAGAUGUUCUGUAUUCUGCAACAUUUGAAAGUACCUUUCCAACAUCAAGUCCUAAGUGUGUUGCUUUUCUGCAAAACUCUUGUUGGUCUAAUAAAAUAUGAUACCUCUACUACAAGUCCUGAUUGCUUGUUUUGUAAUCCAAUCAAAUGCAGUAGCAGUUCUAGCAUCACUAACAUUUCUG